rnacentral:misc_RNA from 1 species
CGUACACACUUGGCUCUGC